UGGGCGCCAAAACCCAUAAGAUCUCCAUACCCCGUCCGGCAUGUGAGACCACAAUCCCGGUAGGGUUCCCUACGGACCCGGUCCGUCCACCAUCUCCCAGGAUAUCUAGUCAGGCUGACCCCCAUAAUACAAUUAUCAGUUUACACAAUCUUUCAUUCUUCCUUUUCCUCAAUCAGCAUCAUCAAUUCACAUUUAAACAAGCAAAU
rnacentral:lncRNA from 1 species